CCUACGGGAGGCAGCAGUGGGGAAUAUUGCGCAAUGGGCGAAAGCCUGACGCAGCGACGCCGCGUGAGGGAUGAAGGUCUUCGGAUCGUAAACCUCUGUCAGCAGGGAAGAACGGUCACUGUGCUAAUCAGCAGAGAAUUGACGGUACCUGCAAAGGAAGCACCGGCUAACUCCGUGCCAGCAGCCGCGGUAAUACGGAGGGUGCGAGCGUUAAUCGGAAUUACUGGGCGUAAAGCGCUCGUAGGCGGUACGUCAAGUCAAGGGUGAAAUCCCCGCGCUCAACGUGGGAACUGCCCUUGAUACUGGCAAACUGGAAUGUGUGAGAGGAUAAGGGAAUUCCAGGUGUAGGAGUGAAAUCCGUAGAUAUCUGGAGGAACAUCAGUGGCGAAGGCGAUUAUCUGGCACAUAACUGACGCUGAGGAGCGAAAGCCUGGGUAGCAAACGGGAUUAGAUACCCCAGUAGUC
rnacentral:rRNA from 1 species